GUCUGUGUUCAGUCAUUGCUUGUCAUGUGUGAUGUCUGCUGCCUGAUUCUUAAGCUUGUUUCAUGUAGAUUUUUGGAUGUUGUGUUUAGUUUGGGAUCAACUUGUUUGUUUAUGUUGGGUUUUCUGGACAUUUCUGUCUCUUUAAACUACAGUACAAGGUGGUUGUUUUUUUAAAUAUAUAAUACAUUGUGAUUGUGUGUGUGUGUAUAAUCUGGACAUUGCAUUCCCAUGCAAGAACCCAACACUAUCUCUACACAGUGUACUUUACCUCCAUAAAAUGACCACAAUAACCCUCUGCAUGUGAGCACUCGUGGUGCCUGAAUCAUGUUUCCCACAAUCUGGCCAGGACUUUGCAGUAAAAUUCCAGUGGAUUGUUGUUUUUGUUAUGGUUUUGAAAGAGUUGCAGUUGGUCUGAAAGUGAAGAAAGAAGGCUCAGAGAAAAAUAACUGUUUGGCAGACUUUCCUAGUAGUGAGAAAAUGAGGAGAGUGCUCCUCUGCUGGGGAACACUCUACAAGUAUGAAGGUAUUUUUGUGUAUUUUUAAUGCAAGCAACAAAAAAAAAGUUUUGAGAGCGUGUUUAUUGCACAGCAAUCGAAGUUUCUUUUGUGUGUCACAAAAAGCUUGAAUUGCUAAUUUGUCCUUAUUGAUUGCAAGUUAAAAAGUUUUCCUUGCGAGUCAGAAUGUUUUGCAGGUUCAACCGUUUUGCAAGUUGAAAAGUUUUGCGAGUAAAAAAAAGGUCUAAAUAAGAGAAUCUAGUGGUGGUUUGACUGACCAAACCUUUGGUUUGCAUCGAUCGCAUAGCCACGCCUACAAUCCCCUUGCUCCAACAGCUCCGACCACUUUCUGGAGACAGAGCUGUAGUGUGCACAGGCUAGAUGGACGUAAGUUGACGUUCUGUCGCUCAUUUCAAUAGAAAUGCUUUUUAAAUGUAGUAUGGCAUGAUUUAAUGAUUAUUUAUAUUUACUGUUGGCAAGGUCAGGUUGGUAUAACAGUUCGCUAACGUUAGCCGUAUUGGCAUGAAGCUUGACUGGCAGUGCAUUUGUGCACUCAGACAUGACGAGAGGUGCACCAUCAGAUGUCCUCAUCAUCCACUGUGGCGGCAGCAGCAUGGGGGAGGUCAUCAGCGUGAAGCUGUUCAACAUGGAGGACGACCUGCACAGGCUUUACCUCCAGCACCCUGGCAUGAAUAUCCUGUUUUCGUCUGUGACGCAGAGUGUUGGUGGAAGGCUGGUGCCAAUCAGUGAAAAGUGUUAUGGCUGUAUUUGUUUGUAGCUUAAAUGAUGCCAUGAUUAAGAACCCUCGCAUCAGACAUGACAGUCCUGGGCUAUAUUUGAAAAAUGGAUUUUAUUUCACAACUAGGGCAGAUUAUGUUUUCAAGUACAGUAGCUAAUUGCAUCAAAGACCACCUCCAAAUGCAGUGAACUGCUUUCAGUUGGUAGUGUUACUGCUUUUGAAUUUGGCUUUUAGGACCCAUUUUCCUGCACCUAAACAUAGCUGACAGUCAUGGUUAAUGUUGUUUAUGUUCACAA